rnacentral:rRNA from 1 species
GACGAACGCUGGCGGCGUGCUUAACACAUGCAAGUCACGGGGGCCCAGGGGCAACUCUGGGCAACCGGCGAACGGGUGCGUAACACGUGAGCAACCUGCCUAUCUGCGGGGGAUAGCCGGCCCAACGGCCGGGUAAUACCGCAUACGUUCACGAGGGGACAUCCCCUUGUGAGGAAAACUCCGGUGCAGAUAGAGGGGCUCGCGGCCUAUCAGCUAGUUGGUGAGGUAACGGCUCACCAAGGCGACGACGGGUAGCUGGUCUGAGAGGAUGGCCAGCCACAUUGGGACUGCGACACGGCCCAGACUCCUACGGGAGGCAGCAGUGGGGAAUAUUGCGCAAUGGACGAAAGUCUGACGCAGCGACGCCGCGUGUGGGAUGAAGCUCUUCGGGGGUGUAAACCACUGUUGCCCGGGAAGAAUCUCCUGAUUUAUCAGGAUUGACGGUACCGGGUGAGGAAGCACCGGCUAACUCUGUGCCAGCCGCCG